UGUGUCAGUGAUGACAAAUUGGCUCCCUCUACUGAGACCCAGUGAGGAUAAUUGCCAUGUUACCCAAUUCUGACUGAGACACA
ensembl:snoRNA